rnacentral:rRNA from 1 species
UGGGGAAUAUUGCACAAUGGGCGCAAGCCUGAUGCAGCCAUGCCGCGUGUAUGAAGAAGUCCUUCGGGUUGUAAAGUACUUUCAGCGGGGAGGAAGGGAGUAAAGUUAAUACCUUUGCUCAUUGACGUUACCCGCAGAAGAAGCACCUGCUAACUCCGUGCCAGCAGCCGCGGUAAUACGGAGGGUGCAAGCGUUAAUCGGAAUUACUGGGCGUAAAGCGCACGCAGGCGGUUUGUUAAGUCAGAUGUGAAAUCCCCGGGCUCAACCUGGGAACUGCAUCUGAUACUGGCAAGCUUGAGUCUCGUAGAGGGGGGUAGAAUUCCAGGUGUAGCGGUGAAAUGCGUAGAGAUCUGGAGGAAUACCGGUGGCGAAGGCGGCCCCCUGGACAAAGACUGACGCUCAGGUGCGAAAGCGUGGGGAGCAAACAGG